UACGUAGGGAGCAAGCGUUGUCCGGAAUCAUUGGGCGUAAAGCGCGCGUAGGUGGCUUCGUAAGUCCGUUGUGAAAGUCAAAGGCUCAACCUUUGAAAGCCGAUGGAUACUGCGGAGCUAGAGUACGGAAGAGGCGAGUGGAAUUCCUGGUGUAGCGGUGGAAUGCGCAGAUAUCAGGAGGAACACCAAUAGCGAAGGCAGCUCGCUGGGACGUUACUGACACUGAGGCGCGAAAGCGUGGGGAGCGGACAGG
rnacentral:rRNA from 1 species